AAAUUAGUCCGCUUGGCCACCAAAAAAUGAACGACAAAACGGAUAAAUGCCCGAAAAUAAAAACCAAAACAAGCAGCACGCGACGCGCAGAAAGAAGAACUAAAACAAACCGAAAAACUGAAUAAAUUGGCAAUGUUUGGGCCAGCUAAGUACCAAUACCUAUAAAUCCUGCACAGCUUAACCCGCAAAGCCCAAGGAGUCUCCCAACAGAUCGGUACCAAGCAAUUGUUCUGUGGACUAUGAUUUCGAUCCCAAAUCGUUAUAUGGUGAAAAUUAAACUCUGGUAACUCCAUAAAAUAUCGGAGUUGCCAGAUCAAUAGAAAUACAUAAAAACGUCUGCCUUUUAACAGUAAUCAAUUGGAGCUUUCACUAAGAAAAUGAUCAGAGGAGAUGGAAAAGGUCGCCCUAUCCACAGGAAGCAUUUUUAGAACAGCGCAAAUCAGCAGAAGACAGAGGACCACCAGACCACAUUGCUUGCCCUGCGAAGGAAGCCCAGAAUCCUGGGUGCCAAAGGCGUGCUUUUCCUUCCCUUUUUAAGUUUUAAUUCCACGCGGCUUUUGCACGAGCCCAAAAAUUAAAUUUCUUAUUCUUUGAGCCGCGGCUAAAGGCGUUCUGGUAUUUUCUGGUAUUUUCUGGUAUUUUGUUAGCUUAUCUUGAAAAAAAGCUUGAAAAACUGACGCGACGAACACAGUUAGCUGCGUAUUUGCCUCUCGCUCGCGAUUUUCGCCGCUCUGAGCUCUAGGCUUUAAAGGCAGAACGGGAAAAUUAUAAUACGUGCGUACGUAAUUUUAGUAUUUUGGGAUUUAGACAAGAUUGCAACUC